GAAAUGCGAUACGUAGUGUGAAUUGCAGAAUUCAGUGAAUCAUCGAAACCUUGAACGCAUCUUGCGCUCGUGGUAUCACCACGAGCAUACCUGUUUGAGUGUCAAUUUUAUACUCACUUUUAAAAAACUCGACUACAAGUAGUUGUUUUCAUUUUAAAGUGGAUUUGAGUGUUGGUUCGAAAGAUCUCCAUCACUUGAAAUGCAUUGUGGAUGUUAAGUAAGCUGUGUUAUCACUUCUUAGCAGUUCCAAAGGCAUCUGUAACAUCAAUCACUGAUGAACCUAUGUUUUUUUUGGCUGUUCAAGUCUUGAUCUCUUUACAUUUUUACUUGUGUCCCUCUCCAUAAACUUUUACCAAUUUGACCUCAAAUCAGGUAAGGCUACCCGCUGAAUUUAA
rnacentral:misc_RNA from 1 species